rnacentral:misc_RNA from 1 species
GAUGAAGAACGCAGCGAAAUGCGAUAAUUAAUGUGAAUUGCAGAAUUCCGUGAAUCAUCGAGUCUUUGAACGCACAUUGCGCCCCCUGGUAUUCCGGGGGGCAUGCCUGUCCGAGCGUCAUUGCUGCCCUCAAGCACGGCUUGUGUGUUGGGCCUCCGUCCUCCUCCCGGGGGACGGGCCCGAAAGGCAGCGGCGGCACCGCGUCCGGUCCUCGAGCGUAUGGGGCUUCGUCACCCGCUCUUGUAGGCCCGGCCGGCGCUUGCCGACACAUCAAUCUUUUUUCCAGGUUGACCUCGGAUCAGGUAGGGAUACCCGCUGAACUUAAGCAUAUAAAAAGCGGAGGA